CUCAACUUUUUCUUUUCUUAUUUUUCUUGCUAAAAAACUUUUUUUUUUUUAAUUUUUUUUACCGAUGGAACAAUCUCAGCCCAUAUGAUAUAAAAAUGAGAGAUUUUUUUAAUUAGAUAGAAAAAUUAAGCAUAAAAACUCAAAAUUUUCUAAUUUUACCCAUUCAUGGGUAAUACCCAUUAAGAGUGCACCCAUAUGUAUAUAUAUAUAUAUGAUAUUAUGAUGAUAUGUCAUAUCAUACAUUGAGAGAAGAAAAAAAAGUAGUGAGACUCAUCAUUACAUGUGAAUGGAAAGAGAGAGAAAUAAAAUGUUAGAAAAAAAAAAAGAAAACUAGAAAAAAAGUCUGCUUCAGUGUAAGAAUAUAUAUAUGUUUUAACCGUAUGCUAAUAAAUGGUAUAUCUUCUAAAUAAUUGACCAACAAUAUUAUAGCAAUUAAUUUUAGAUUUUAGUCCGUUGAUGCAAUUAAUUCUUAUAUUUUUUAGUUUUCAUUCUAAUAAAAUUUCAAUUUUUAUUUUGUUAGUAAUUUUUAUACUUUUUUUUUUGUAUGUUUUUGUCAAUGUAGGAUGGUGGUGAGGGUAAUGGUUUAGCUGUUGAUAUAUUGGGUGGUGUUAAUGAUGAUGGUGCUGAAGUUUAUAAGGUGACUUUAUGUUUUUUUUUGUUUUGAAAUGUAUUAUAUUGUGUGUUUUUAAAUUUAUUAUAUAUUAGUAUCUUUUGUUGUUUUUUUCUCAAGAAAUAAGACAAAUAUCAGAUGCUAUUGUUAAUGAAGUUACUGAUCAGGCUGUUGAUGUAGGUGCUGAGGAUGGCAUGGAUAAGGUUUUGUUUUUUAUUUUUUAUUUGCAAUUAUUUUGCUUUGUAUUUUGUUUAGUUGAUUUAGUAACUAAUAUGUUUCUUUUUCAUGUACCGUUUUUCAAAUUGGUCACGAUUGUUCAAGUUUUGAUAUUAUGGGUUCUUUGUUGGUGCAGCCUGAAAAUGUUGAAGUUUUGUUGGAAGAUAAAAAAGUAGUUGGAGAUGAUAAUGUUAUGGAAGCUUCUAAAAGGAAUAGUGAGAGUACUGAAGAUGGUAUUACAUCUGCUGAGAUGUUAAUUAUAUAAGAGAAAGUGGAUGCUGUUUGUCAUGAUUAUGAGUUGAAGAAGAGUAUGGUAUGUGAUUUGUAUAUAUUUAUGUAUGAUUAAUUUUUUAAUUAUUAUUAAUUUGUUUUGACAUUUUGUUAUGAGUUUUUCAUAUUAUUUUAGGAAAAAUUUAAAGUUAUUGAUUUGGGUAGUGCUGAUACUCCAAGUGUGGAUUUGCAAGGUGUUAUUAUAAUUGACUUUGGUGAUUCGUCUAGAAAAUCUGUUAAGAUUGGCGAAACAAAGUAUUUGAAAGGUCUACACCCUUUCAAUUCUGAGUUGCUUGAUCCACUGCAUUGUCUUCAAUAAGAUUCUUUUGAUGAGUGGUUUCUUGAAGUUAUUCUUAUAUUAUUAUUUCUUCACUGUUUCAUAGUGUAAACACUAGUCUAAGUUGUCAUCUUUGGAUGUACAACUAGAUGUUUCAUUUACAAAUACUUAUCUAUUGAGAUCUAACACUAUUAUGUUUGUCUAAUGGAUGGCAAUCCUUUGGGAUUUGUCCCAUUAAAACAACAAGGUAAGUUAGACCAAUAAUGAAGAUUCAAAAUUAUACUACAACAUUAAUAACAGAAAACAACAUGGUUCAAUAUAAAUUCAUACACAUUUAGAAAUUAUCAUACAAUUAGUGUAAUGACUGCAUAUUAGAAUAUGGAUUAGUAAAGGCAAUAAGCAUUUAUUAUUGGUAUUUUUAUAAUUAUGCAUGAUUUUAUUAUGAGUUGGGUCCCAUUUUUAGAAAUGAGAAUUAGAGUUAUAAUUUCUCAAUUUUAGAGAUUUUAUUAAACUCUAGGGGUACUAUUUAAGUUAUAUAUGCAUUAUGUAAUUUUUAUGAUUUUGUUCGGCGAUAACGGAAAAUGAGAUGGAUAGUCGUUUGAGUCACUUAGAUAAGUCGAGAACCUUUUUCUUAGAGGGAAAAAUAUUUGUGACAAAUAAAAUUCGGGUUUGAGCAGGGUUAUGGCUUCUGACCAUUUUACCCUUAGGCUUUAUUUGGCUUAAGUAGAAGUAAAAGGAUAUUUUGGUAAUUUGGCAUUAAGUGAUAGGUGGCUAGUUAGUUGUGUGCCACCUAGCUACUCUUAUGUUCAGCCUAGAUUAACUAUUUUCUUGGGGAAUUAAUUAAUUAGGUUUGAUUUAACAUAGGAAAAUCAAAGAAAAAAAUAAGAAAUAGAUAAUACUACUCUUCUUCUUCUUCUUUCUCUCAAAACCAAGAAGGACCCUAGGAAUUGUUGUUGAGUUCUGCAUAUUCAACAAGAUUUCAACUGGAAUUCUUUAGCUCAAUCAAAGGUAAAGGAAAGGCGAACGCUAAACAGGAGUGAGCCUCGAGCUAGGGUGAAGUUGUACAUGUCAUGGCGGCGCGACCUGGAGUGUUCGGUCUCGAGACAUCUGGGUUUUCUUUUUGUAGUCGUUGUGCAACCUGACUAGUGUAUUUUAAAAUAUUUUAUAAAUGUUUAAUAACGGGAUCCCGGCUUUUGUAAAUCAUUAAAUAAAAGUUUAUAAAGUUUCAUAGUCUAAA